UCCAGUUCAAUUAUACAGUCCCAAAUAAUAAAAAAUGCAAAAAAUAUAAAUCAUAUUCUAACCUACACUAAUCCUAAACUAUGCUCCAAUGCUUUACCAGAUGUCUUGAGCCUUGAUCACGAACCUUCUUCGAAGACAUAAUACGUCGGGGUAUCCCCCGGUGAAUAAACACAUGAAACCUUGGGGCAUUCCCUAACCAAAUGAAUACAUUUGAAUCAAGUACGAUAAACUAGCAAACAUUCAACACAUAUUCCACAUCCAAACAUUCAACAAAACACUUAUUCCUAAAUUUUGCCUACCCGAACCUAUAUUUGCCUACCAAUUUUGACCUAUCACGAUACUAUCAUGUUUAACAACAUAAACAUUUAUUUCAAAUCAAACCACUAACAGGAAUCAAAAUAAAUUCACGUCCACACAUAUCAAUGUCAAUACCUCCACAAAUUAAAAUCUACUCCAAAUGAGUUCAAAUCAUUUCCGAUUAAUUAACCAAUUUCAACAUAGAAUCACCCAAAACAAUUAAAGUUACUCAACCAACAAUCAAGAUCACUUCAUCAACCAAAGCAUUCCAUCCAUAACACUGGAUAUCGUAAACAAAGAAAUAAAAGAAUAGAGAUUAAAAAUGGACCUCGAUUCGGAACUUUUGGAGAAUAUUACUUGAUAAAAUAAAGAAAUCCACCUCCGAGAACCUCAACUCGAGCCACAAAAAUGACAAAGAUCUUCUCGGUAUCUAUAAAUAAGGAUCGAAAUCAACCCAAUCUCUCUGAAUUACCAUUGACUCCGGUGGUUCUAGCGUUUUCAGGCUAAGACGUCCAAAAAUCAAAGGAAAAAAAGGAAAUCUCGAUGAUUUUGAGACUGAUUCGAUCGAACUGAUGAUGAAAACUAAUUUCAGCACUGAUAUCAUCGGAAACAGCUCGAAAAAAGGCUGGUUUUCUCGCUGUUUUUCGAGUCCUUUGCUGAAUCUCCAUCGAACACCCUCUACUCCCUCAUUUUCUCCUUCAAUCCCACCAUUUUCUUACUUUACCCUUGUACGCAUCGCUUUUUCAUUGAAGACGAGUCUGGUGAGAUAUCGGCACCGGUGGCUGUGCCAUUCGUGUCGCGACCUUGCCUAUUCUCUCUCCUCUCUCGCUGGUUUGCCCCGAUCUACUCCCUCCGUUCUCUACUCUCUCUCUUCAUUAAUCUCUUUUUGUUACUCACUGUUAUGUGUAUCUGUGCAUUAAUAAAUUCGUUGUGUAUUUAUGUGUAGUGUGUAUAUGGUAUAUGGAAGAAGAGAAGAUGGUCAAUGUAUGUUGUGUGUGUUGUGUGUCAAUGGAAUAGAAAAAUGUUGAAGUUUUUCGUGUGGGAUUCUGUAAGCUUUUUUGUGUAUUUUCUCGUGUAUGUCGCGUUUUUCGGUCGCCCUCCCUUUUUUCGGUGAGAUCUUUAUAUGUCUGUAUCUAUAUCUCCUCUCUAUUCGUUACCCUCUCUCUCUCGAUCUACUCCAUUUUUCUCUAUGUAUGUGCGAUUUAGUGUGAAGAUAUGUGUGUGUGUCGAGAGGAAGAAAAAAAAAGAGAAAAGAAUGAAAUCUCUAUGGGUGAAUUGUGUGUGCGCGUUCUGUCGUGAAGAAGAAAACUAAAAGAAAAAUGGAGUUUUUUUCUUUUUUUUCCUUCUCUCUCAGAUCUCUGUGUGUGUGUUUAUGGUGUAUUGUGAGAGGACGAUGGAUGAUCUCUACGUAUUAUUUUUUCUUGUGUUUGUAUAACCGUGAGGUUUGGGUGGGGACCACGUGGGG
rnacentral:lncRNA from 1 species